UACAGAGGGGGCAAGCGUUGUUCGGAAUUACUGGGCGUAAAGGGCGCGUAGGCGGCCUGUUAAGUCGAACGUGAAAUCCCCGGGCUCAACCCGGGAACUGCGUCCGAUACUGGCAGGCUUGAAUCCGGGAGAGGGAUGCGGAAUUCCAGGUGUAGCGGUGAAAUGCGUAGAUAUCUGGAGGAACACCGGUGGCGAAGGCGGUUCUCUGGGCCUUACCUGACGCUGAGGAGCGAAAGCGUGGGGAGCGAACAGG
rnacentral:rRNA from 1 species